UACGAAGGGGGCUAGCGUUGCUCGGAAUCACUGGGCGUAAAGCGCACGUAGGCGGAUCUUUAAGUCAGGGGUGAAAUCCUGGAGCUCAACUCCAGAACUGCCUUUGAUACUGGGGAUCUCGAGUCCGGGAGAGGUGAGUGGAAUUCCGAGUGUAGAGGUGAAAUUCGUAGAUAUUCGGAAGAACACCAGUGGCGAAGGCGGCUCACUGGCCCGGUACUGACGCUGAGGUGCGAAAGCGUGGGGAGCAAACAGG
rnacentral:rRNA from 1 species